rfam:Daucus carota subsp. sativus cultivar DH1 chromosome 5, whole genome shotgun sequence.
AACUGAACGAGAUAUUGGUCCGGUUCAAUAAAAAAGUUGUGUUCGAAAUAUUAAGGACUUAGCUUUUUGAUUGAGCCGUGCCAAUAUCACGUGUCGUUCC